GCUUUUGUCUUUCUUUUUUAUAGUCUUUGUACUAUAAAAAUAUUUUUGAUAAAGUUUCAAUAGAUUAUCGUUCUGAAAGACAGGUUCUCAGUGAGAGCAUUUCAACAGGAGACUAGACUCCCAGGGUCACAGGCUCAGGUGGAAGUGUUUGGUGUGGCGGACCAGAUGGAUGCUGGAAUUGCCAUGUUGUCUGAAGCCCGGCCUUGUCUUCUCCAUAACCAAAACUCAAAUCCCAGCUAAUCAUUUUCUUCAUGUCUAAUCUGUCUUAUAAAGGCAUAUACAUUAAGUUACAGUCUAGACAGUUACUUUACUGAAAAAAAAAAACAGAAUUGUUUGGGGAAAAAAAUUAAAUUGAGUCCUCUAAAAUCUACUGAGACAGUGUUUGAAUCCCUGGAAAAACUGGGACACGUGGUCACUGUAGAACAGCCAAGGAGGCAGUUCCUGUGAAGGGAUUCACUCAGAAUAGCUCUCCAGAUAUCCAAGUUGACCCCCUUCUCCUGAAAAUUGGGGCCACCUUCAACUCAGAUCCAGAUGUCCUGUCUUUGUCCGGAAGGUCAUUGGCGUCUUUGUUGGGGGCCAUGUGCUCUGGGAGUACAGAGGAUAGCAGCUUCCUUCCAGGAGCUAUGAUAAGGGGACAUGCCACGGAGUCACCCUGGAUACCCAGGUGGAGCUGGGUGCCAGCCAUUACUGGCUUAUGCCAUAGAGCACAUGCCUAUCAGGAUCUACAGACACAGGCAGCAUCAGCUGUGAACUAGGCUGCAGCAGCUUGAAUACAGAGGUUUAAGCCUUUGAGAUAUUUAGCUUCCUUGUGGAGGGGCCACUCUGGUCCCAUUACUUCAGGGAGAAAGGACAGCUGACUGGCCUGGACAUCCAGGUAUAAAGUCCCCAGAGUGUCUCCAGAAGUAAUGAAUGUAUCCAUCCAGGGUCCCACCUUUGUUCCCCUCUUGGGAAAGCCAGGCUCUACCAUCAAGAGUUUAAAACUCCCAAGGCCCACUAAGCCUUGCUUUUGAAUCAGCCUCCAUCUCCUGGACCUUCUGGUUGUUCCCUCGUAAGACACAUCCCUGAAAGCCAAUCCAUCAUGAAGCUGAGCCUCUACUUCUCAUCUGCUCUGAGGCACGAGAGACUGAGAUGCCAAAAUAUGUGGUCAGAAAGGCAUUAAAGCAAAGGUUGCUGACCCUGACUUACUAACUGGCUUGUCUGGUGGGCUUUGUAAGCCUUCCUGCUCUUCCUGCCCUUCACCUCCAUGUUCUCCCUCGUCUAUGCACUAAAUGACACGAAACUGAGGGGGGAAAGCCACUGUCCCUUUGCUGUUCACCUUCGCUCUGGGGGGUCCUUGUCCUGCUGCAAGAAAACAAGACUGUGAUUUCACAUCAGGGGUCUUCCUAACAAGGGCUCACUGCUCAUAAAUGUCAAGAAAGUAAACGGCUGAACUUAAAACUGGCAUUUCGAAGGGAAAGGCAAGACUGUGGGGUCAGUUUUGUCACCAGCCCUUUUUGUCUUUUUCUUUUUUGGUUUUCAAAAUGGGGAUUUUCUGUGUAGCCCUGGCUGCCCUAGGACUCACUCUGUAGACCAGGCUGGCCUCAAACUCAGAGAUCCACCUGCCUCUGCUUCCCAAGUGCUGGUUUGAAAAGCAUGUGCCCCCCACACCUAGCCUGUUGACCGUCUUUUUAUAAAGUUCUCACUGUGUAUCUGACUGGUGCACCCGGAGUGAAGACAGAGUAGUCAUGAAGACUUGAGAGGCUGGGGGUGCAUCUCGGCACUCAAGCCCUUCAGUGGUUGGGCAUAUUUGACUGUCCUGGAAACUGGCAUGUUGGCAGCACUCUGCGGAGGGAGAGCAGGUGAGAUGAGGGUGAGCCUCAAGGGGACAGUUCCCUGGGCACGGGUGGAAGGGAAGAGUGCAGCCUACCAAGUCUGGGUAGAGACGGGUCAUGAGGAGCAACAGGAGUAAGGCAGGUUCCUUGGGCUGAAGUCACCAUCUCCGCUUCUGGGCCCAGGGAAGCUCUAGGGUCUGUUUGGGAAAAGAACACUAUAAGCUGCAGGCUGUGUGAGAGGCAGAAGGCAGAUGGGCCCUGCUGGGGCUGGUAUCCUAGCGGUUGGCUUGGGACCAAGGGACCCCAGACUGAGCUGACUAAACGUAGGAAAAAGGAAUGAGUGAGCUGUGAGAUAGAAGUAGAAGGUAGAUUUCUAACCUCGGUGAUUGAGUGAAUAUUAACAGGACCCAGCCCCAGUGAUGUCUGCCGGAUCCCACAUCCUGAGAGGCCCUGCGUCUUCCCCUCCCCAGCCCUGUGAGAGGUGUGUGCACUGGGCGCGCAUGCACACCCUGACAGAAGUAGAUGCUCAGUGCCAAUGAUGGUGCCAGCCAGAGAGAAACUGGGCUAGGUACCACUGACUGGGAUGUACAGCACACAGAAAAGGCUAUUGGAGACUCUGAUGUAGAGAAAUGAUUGUGCGAGGUUUCCCCACUCAAGAAAGGUGGGCCUGGCAGCUCUCAUCCUCCAGUGUUCAGAAUGGGAGGGCUGUGCCCUUAAACUCAGAGGCAGCGUGAGGAGGUGAGAAUAAGGAAUCAUUCACACAGGGCGACUGUCUUGAUACCCACAGCUUAAAACAAGCACCUUUCCAUGCAGAUCCACUCAGUGCUUACAAACAGUCCAUGGGGUUUGAGCCCUGUGGGUGCAUCAUUUUUAACCUGUCUGGAAAGAGGGAAUUGUUUAAGAUGCUUAGAUGUGGUUGAGAUUACGGCCAGACUCUGAAAGAUGGCUUACAAGCUGUAAGUGUGGUGUCAGAAAAGGACCAGAAGGAAUGCUGGGACUGAGGUGCCUGUGUUAGGACCUUGCUUGCCUGGUGUUCCUGGAAACAGCAGGGGAAAGCAAAGUAGUUGGGAAAGCUGCUCUUGCAGACUCCUUGUAUCUAUCUGGCUGGCUGUCCCCUCGGCUCUCUGCAGAUUCCAGUAUUUACAGGUCACAUCAGCCUCCUAAAGCCUGAGCGUGAGGGCUGAAGUUUGUGGUCAGGAAGCCCCUUUGUAGCCAAGGAACUCCUGGGCUCUGGCAGGGUUGGUGGGCUCCUCCCUUCUUUAUGGGUAUUCCCAGAAAGCUGACCUUUGAUGAGGACAGGCCAGGUGAGCCCUGGGAUAAAAACAGUCACCUGUGUUUUCCAGAGCUGUGACCCCCAUCAGUCUGUAGUGACCACAGAGGCAGAGAGAGCUGUCAGCCUUGGCUGCUAAAAGGGUGACAUUUCUACAUUACAGACACGGUUCUGAGGACCCUAAUGCGGCCCUGUGGAAGCUGCUCCUCCUGUGAUUAUCCUCCUGCAGUCCUCCUAGGCUCGAUACACUUUCCUCCCCGCUUUCUUCACUCUGACUUGGGGAAGGAAGAAGAAACACGGCAAAGGGCAGAACAGCCGUUAAACUCUGUGCAACCCAAGCAUUGAGAUUCCAGGAGUAUUCAUGGCCUCCAGAGUAACUUAGGCCUCCACCCUGGGAUCCAUUGGGCCCCUCCUAUUGACUCUUUAAGACAGGCUUGAGGUGGCCAGGACCCCAUUCCACAGCCUAAAAGUAGAAUCUUUCUCAGGCCUUGGUGGAGCCCUCACCCAGCCGUUAGCACCUCCCUCACAUCCUCACUCCUCUCCCGAGGAAAGGCUGAACACCAAGCAGCGUCCCCCCCUGUGGUGGCCCUCCAUCUCCUUACCUUCCAGCAUCCCCAAAACAUUUGAUGCUGACAUAUGUCAUUUCUCUCCAUCUCAACUCCACUUUCUGAGCAGGUACAUGCACCUGGAAGGAACAUGUUGGCCACCCACAAGCCCACAGCUGCCAUCUUAGACCCUCCUCCCAGACUGGCAACAGUUAACAUUGUACUGAGCUACAUUUUUACAAAUUUAACCCAACAGAAAGUGGAUUCUAACCUGCUUUUGGAAUUAUCCUUCAUCCACAAAUAAGUCUAAAUGUAUUUGCAUUAUGAUAUUAAUGGACUUUUCUAAUGACUGGAAGGUACUAAACCAAGAUAUUUGUUCUU
rnacentral:lncRNA from 1 species